UUCAGAAUUUAUUAUUUAGAGUACGGACAAAUAUAGUGAUUCUCGAGUCGUGUAUGGCUGGUAUUCCAAGUUGAAGACUAAGCAAGUCUAUUACGAUGGUCCUAAGGCUUCACCUGUUUGACCUUGGAGAUAUCAUUUUUUGCCGAAACUGAUGUGGCAUGCUCAAGGAGACUUUUAUUAUUUUCUCCAUUAUCGGCCAGUUCUGUUGCCAUUUUUCUUUUCAGCCAUGAUCCUGCAUCACUGCAGGAUGUAGUCGUGGUCGUGCCAUUUGAUUACCUGAAGCACUAACCACACAGUAUACCAAGUAGCCAGUCAGCACAGAUCGUGAACAUUAAAGAACAUUAAACAUUAAAGAUCGUGCAAGAGACCAGACAGAUGGCCUAUUGAAAUACACCCCACGCUUCUUCUUUCCUCUACAGGUACAGACGGCGGCCAUAAUUAAUGUUGCGUCCAGGUCUUUAAGCAAAGAAUCCGAGUUAUUGUGUCCCUGGCUUCCAAAUCAGACAUACGGAUGUACAAGGAUGUCACAAGCCUUCAAGCUAAUUUUAAAGACUUCACAUCAAAUCAAUGCGAUUUGGCUAUGGUUAUUCCAAAUUCUGGAAAUUACUUUGACGAACUAAAACUACUGCGGAGUUGGAAUGUGGCACAACGUUCAACGGAACUGCAAUGCACAGGCUGAUACGCGCACGUUGAUGAAAAACAUGACCUGGGUGCCUUGGAGGAUGGAGUCAAUUCCCAAAGAUCAAGAACGAGGAGCAAAGGGGAAUCUCUGUGGCCUGUGCUAAGAGGGGCUUUAAGCCGAAAACAAGCUGAAUUUUAUUGGUCAAACGUCCUCACAAGCGGUUCGUACCGAGUGCUCCCCACACAGGACAAUAAAUGUAAUAGCUUUGAGCCAGAGACCUCCGUUGAUCGCACAAUAGUGCAUCCCAAUAACGUGCAGUAGUUCGAGGUCAAUCACCAGCUCAUUCAGGGUGCACCUAGGCCUGAGAACACAGGUAACAAGCAGAUGUCUGAUUGAACAUAGCCACGCCGGAAAUCCCGUUGCGCGAAGCGCAAGAAGCCGAAGUGAAAAUAAACCUGAGAAUUUCAUGCGCCAUAAAAGUAGCAUUUAGAAAAAAAGACAAAAAAAAUAUUACAAAUUGGCUUAAUGGGACCGGGAAACCCCCAAGCGAACCCAACAUGGAUCUGAAGAAGCCUCAAUGGUGACGAAGUUCCGAGUUGCGUUCCACGAUCCUCAACCGCUGCCGAUGCCCAGCCAAGCAAAGAAGUUUUAGAGCUUAGAGUUUUGAAAAGCGCACUGAUACUAUUUGGGACAUACACAUAGUAACAUACAGAAAUCUGACCAAUAAAUGUUACCAACGUUCAGUACA